rnacentral:ncRNA from 1 species
CUAUGAUAAUGAAUUAUCAUGGCGAAAGGAG